CUGCCUACGGGGGGCUGCAGUGGGGAAUUUUGGACAAUGGGGGCAACCCUGAUCCAGCCAUUCCGCGUGAGUGAAGAAGGCCUUCGGGUUGUAAAGCUCUUUCGGCAGGAACGAAACGGCGGGCUCUAACAUAGCCUGUCAAUGACGGUACCUGAAGAAGAAGCACCGGCUAACUACGUGCCAGCAGCCGCGGUAAUACGUAGGGUGCGAGCGUUAAUCGGAAUUACUGGGCGUAAAGCGUGCGCAGGCGGCUUUGUAAGACAGGUGUGAAAUCCCCGGGCUUAACCUGGGAACUGCGCUUGUGACUGCAAGGCUCGAGUGCGGCAGAGGGGGGUGGAAUUCCACGUGUAGCAGUGAAAUGCGUAGAGAUGUGGAGGAACACCGAUGGCGAAGGCAGCCCCCUGGGUCGACACUGACGCUCAUGCACGAAAGCGUGGGUAGCAAACAGGAUUAGAUACCCGUGUAGUCCC
rnacentral:rRNA from 1 species